UCUUCCGCUUGUUUAAAACUUCGCUGCUUAUAAGCUAUUAUUUCAUAAUUGUAAAGGAUUAAAAAUGGGAAAAAGGGAUAAUUUGUUCAAACUGUUAGCUUGUCUAACUUUCAUUAGUAGGCGCCAUCACGACUCCCGAGGGUGGAAAAUCUGGGUCAUGACAUCAACACACAAAAGACUCGAGGUCGUUCCCACCUAAUAAAAGAAAAAUAAAAUACUAUGAGUUCUACUUUCGGCCUCCAAAUACAAAUACUUCGGGGCAUAACCCAGAUAAAAAUAUAUACAGAGUCUAUGGGACAUUCCCCUAAAUAUAAACUAAAGGGAACGACCUCUCACCUUGGAUAAAAUAAUAGAAAGGCCUUAAAGUUUGCCUACCCAAUUGUGGUCGACCUAAGCAUGCUCCUAGCGAUUGAGAAAAAUAGAAAUAAAAUUAAACUAAAGUAAAUAAAACUCAUUUCUUUUUCACCUUCUUUUAACUCUUCAUUUCAUGUAUUUGACCCACCUCAAUUUCUAAAACGCGCGAGCAAUUUGAAUCACUAAUGGGAUAGGCCUCUACCAAACUCCAAGGCUCAAUGCCACAUAAACAUGCCACAGAAUAACUGUGAAGAGCAAAUAAACAUCCAAACAUAGGAAGUGAACAAACAAACAAGAGGAAAGGUAGGUAAUAAGACAAAAGAAAUGGUGGAUUGAAAUAUGAUAAGAGCUUUAAAACUUCUCCUUAAUCUCAUCCCUGUACCCACAUCUCCUAAUUUUCUUAAAACCAAAUAAACUCCAAACAACAUCUAACAAAUAAUCCAAGCUAAAAUCAAAUAAGCUUCAAACAACAUUUAAUAGAUAAUUCUACGAUUGAUUAAGCCUGCAGAACUCAACAACAAACAUUGAAUUUAAUUCUUCACUUCUUAUGAUCUGACUAACUCAAACUGAUGAUCCAAAAUUCCCACACAAAUGCCAGCAGUGAUAAAUUAGCAUUCCCACCACAACAUAUUAAACUAGUCAAGGUAGAAAGGGAAAAUUCCAACAUGAGAUCAAAUUCGGCGCGAAGCAACAUGAUAAGCUCAUGACUACUAAAUAGUAAGGUUUUAAAUGAGUUAGGAUUCAACAACCAAGAAGAAAACAAUUUCAAGGGAGUGAGGAUUAGGUACACAAGACUAGAUUAACUAAAAAGAAGACGAAGGGCAAUGCAUUCUGCUAGAACCACAACAAGAUUUAUGAAAUAGGCACAGAGCUCCAACUAAUAGCCAGAAGAACUAAUUUUAUAACCAGGCAAACAAACAGGAGCAAGGGAAACUAAUAAUCACUCAAUUGAACAUCAAUAUAUCCUACAGGAAAGAAACAAAAAUAUGAAAAUGCACCAGAAAUCUUUAUGCACCAAAGAACUGUCCCAAAACGCGUGGUGGAGUGUCGUUAUCCUAUACAAAUGGAAGCUAAAUAAACUGAUUUGGAAUUAAUUGAAGGCGUUGGAACUAUAUGAACUGAUUUUUUGCACCUAAAUUCUAGAAGAUCAGCAUUACAAACUCAAGAAAUCAAAAGCAAAGAUUUGACCAUUUCUGAACUUAACGGGGAUAUCAGACCCUCAUUUGAAGGGAAUGAUCACACUUAAGCCCCCACAAAAAUUGAAGCAAAUGGGAUGAAAUAGAGACAUACUAAUCUGGAUUGUAGCGACUUGAACAAUGAUAGUUAUGGCUUAAGUAUCGAUUUUAUUACUCAGACAGCACAAAAUAAUAAGAACAAAACUCGAAUAUUUCCAUCAAGAGCAGAACUACAUUUGAAACACAUAUUCAAACACAAAUCCAUUCAAAACUGUCUAUUAAGCACAUAUAAACUCAUUCUAUACCCUUAAGAUGUUGUAGACACUAAUGAAUCCCAAACGACCACCAUAGCUCUUAUCAUAUUUCAAACAACCCCAAAAUAGAUUAAGAAAGAUUAGAGAUAAACCUGAAUCAGCAGACACUUUUAAUUAACUUUGCUCGAACGCUAAAUACACGUGAAAUCCAGCAGCGAAGAUCAAAACCAACAGCAACAAAAAAAAACAGGAAUCCCGAGCCACAGACGACCCUCAAGUUAGCGACUCGAUCACUUGAACCUCGGGCAUCAACGACUUCAACAACCUUGGCUCGACUCCAUUUACUAACAUAGAUUGAAGAUGAAACUGAAAUCCGACUCUACACUCACUAGAAAACAGAAACGUAAAAGGAAUCUUUUGAAAUGACCUAAAAUCUAAAAUCAAACUCGAAGAUGAGAAGAAGCUCAAUUUUCUUCUCCAAAUCUUAGAGCAGAGAAGAAGAGCCCCUUUUAAAAACCCCUAAUUCUCCUCCCAAACCCACAAAUAUAUACUCCAUCUCGAAACUUCUAUACUUGUCUUCCAAGAAAACCCAAAAAUCUUCCAAACACAUCCAAAAUUCGGUUUUUUGAUCAGUAAAGGACAAGUGGAGGGAGUAGAUUGUGUUUAACUCAAUUCUAUGCCCCCAAUUAAUCCUAAUCUAGUCUUCAAAUGAAAUUCGGGUGAGAUGAGCGUAUGAGAGAGAGGCGGCCUCGAUUUGUCAGAGUUUGUUACGGAUUCAGCUGACGUGGAAGGAAUAUGAGGGGAGGGGACCAUGGAGGGUUCGUUUAUGUUGGGGUUUGGGUUGGGUUAAGGUGGGAGAAGGGUUUGAGGGAGAAUAGGAGUGCGGCUGAG
rnacentral:lncRNA from 1 species